rnacentral:rRNA from 1 species
CCCGGCGACCGGCGCACGGGUGAGUAACACGUAUGAAACCUGCCCGUAGCAGGGGGAUAAGCGGAAGAAAUUCCGUCUAAUACCGCGUAACAACCCAUGGAGGCAUCUCUGUGGGUUUAAAGGAAGCGAUUCCGGCUACGGAUGGUCAUGCGUCGCAUUAGCUUGUUGGCGGGGUAAUGGCCCACCAAGGCGACGAUGCGUAGGGGUUCUGAGAGGAAGGUCCCCCACACUGGUACUGAGACACGGACCAGACUCCUACGGAAGGCAGCAG